rnacentral:lncRNA from 1 species
AGCGAGGAGCUCGGAGGCCCAGACUAUUGCGGGCUUUGCGAGGGAGGUGCCUGUUGGUGUGGACUCGUGGUGGGAGGUAAGCCAAGUUCAUGUCGGUACCCUGUGAGGAUUUCCAAGUCAUUCUCAGGAUGGAGAAAUGGUUAAGGCCUUAGUCGUGUGGCAGACGAUGGGGCAAUGAUUAUGAAGAAUCAGUUUGCGGUCCGUGGUUGGGGUUGCCGCGGAGUUGGGUAUUGCGAAUAAGUCGUAAGACUCAUAACCCCACGAAUCCCG